CUGGAGUAUAAAAAAGGACAUUUUGCAGGGGGAUUGUAUUCUGUACAGAUCCUGUUUUGAGGUUUCAUAAUAGCAUCCUUGGGAUUAGUGUUCUUGGAACGGAACUGACACUGUUUUUUCUUUGAUAUAUAUAUUUUUUUCAAGCUCACUAUUCCCAGUACCCCAGCGUGCUGUUCUGUAUAAAACCAGGUGAACAGCUGACUGGAGGGAGUAGUGAAUCUAGGAGCCGGCCGGCAAGCACACCUGAUAUUCUGAGGCCACCCUAAUGCUACUGGAGACAGCUGCUGAGGAACUUUAAAAGUCUUGUCUUGACACAUCUAAGGGUGGUUGAACGGGUGUACAGGACAGGAUUGGUCACUCAAGCAUCAAAGAUAUAUAUCUGCAUGUUCAGUUGCCACACAUGCAGCAGUAAUUAGCUGACCUACCACCAACAGGAUCUCCUGAGCACUGCAUGCUCCUGAUUUGGGGUUUGACCCAGGGAUCAUACUUACUUUUCAGGGCUGCUGUGACUUUCAGUUUUAGCACCUGAAACGCUGAUCAAUAUCUGCAUCUAGGUUAGCUGAAAUUGUGAGGUAAUUUUUGGUAUUGAGAGUUCUCUGUGCCUGGUGUCCUACAAACAACUUGUAAACAAGGCUGCAGACAUGGGUGUAGAUAAGGACUUGUCCAACAACAACUCUAGCCGUUGGGGAACAGCCUCGUGCCCACAUGUGGUCCAGGUUCCAACCGUUGUGGUCAUGGUGGGGCUGCCUGCCCGUGGCAAGACUUACAUCUCUAAGAAGCUGACUCGCUACCUUAACUGGAUAGGCAUUGAUACCAGAGCUUUCAAUGUAGGAGAGCUUAGGAGGGCAGCUACUGACAAAUACAGGAGUCAUGACUUUUUCCGAACAGACAAUGCUGAGGCCCAGGCUAUCAGAGCAAAAUGUGCCCAGAUAGCCCUGGACAAUGCCUGCGAGUGGUUAGCCAAUGGUGGACAAGUGGCUGUGGUAGAUGCGACCAAUACAACGAGGGACAGGCGAAGAAUGAUUGUGGACAUCUGCACUGUCAAACAUCCAUUUAAGCUGUUUUUCAUUGAGUCAAUCUGUGAUGACCCCGAAAUAGUCCAGGCUAACAUAAUUGAGGUGAAAAUUUGUGGGCCAGAUUACAUUGGAAUGGACAAAAACAAGGCAAUGGAAGACUUCCAGAUGAGGAUUUCUCAUUAUGAGGCGGGCUACGAAUCACUUGACUAUAAACAUGAUCGGAAUCUCUCCUUCAUCCAGAUUUUCAACCAGGGAGAACGAUUUUUGGUCAACAAAUUAGCAGGACAUUUACAGAGCCGAGUGGUGUACUAUCUGAUGAACAUUCACGUACUCCCAAGAACAAUUUAUAUAACAAGGCAUGGAGAAAGCCAGAUGAACCUGACUGGUCGCAUAGGUGGAGACAGUGAACUUUCAGACAGAGGCUGUCAGUAUGCUGAUGCCUUGGCCAAGUUCAUUGAGAAGGAGAAGAUACCCAACUUGCGUGUCUGGACUAGUCAGUUGAAGCGUACCAUACAAACUGCCAAACAUAUAAACGCUCCUAAAGAGCACUGGAAGGCUCUCAAUGAGAUAGAUGCUGGUAUUUGCGAGGGAAUGACAUAUGAGGAAAUUCAAGAGAAGCACCCUGAGGAGUUUGCCCUCAGGGAUCAAGACAAGUUUCACUACAGAUACCCCAGUGGAGAGUCCUACCAAGACUUGGUUGCAAGGCUGGAACCUGUGAUAAUGGAGUUGGAGAGGCAGGAGAAUGUAUUGGUUAUUUGCCACCAAGCCGUCGCUCGCUGUCUACUGGCGUACUUCCAGGACAAAAAUUCCGUGGAAAUCCCAUACGUGCCGGUGCCUUCUGCCACAGUGGUCAAAAUGAGACUGUCCGGAGAGGGCUGCCACAUAGAACAAAUUCCAUUAUUAAGCCAGCCUCCCUUAUCUGAAGGUGCCUCUACACACGGUUCUCAAGCUGACGCCGGUAGCUUAUGGUUGUAACGUGGAGUUCAUCUCCCUCAAUGUGGAAGCAGUGAAUACCCACAGGGACAAACCUAGUGGCCCAAGGAAGCAGAGGGGGUCAAGCCUACACUGUAUGCAGGAUAGUUUGUACGAAUAACCCCUGUUUACCAGCAUUGACCAUAUUUUGGUGGACUGUGGUCCAUUCCUUCAGGCUGGUGACCUUUAUGACCUUCAGCAUUGACCUUCCAAUCAAGGAUUUGUAUUUCAGAGCAAGGAUCUGCAACAUGGUCAUCUGUUGAGACGUCAGACUGUGCAAUUGAAUGAGCUCUGAUAGAUCUGUAUUCUUAUUCUAUGCAGUGGCCUUGUGCAAACUUUGUGUGCCAGCCCCCCGUUAGAAAGGGGAUCUAUUGUGAUGCUGUGCCAGACAUUCUAUAGGAUCAGUCACAACGGGACUGGAUGGGUUUGUCACCCUGAGGAAACUUUUUGUGUGAUAUGUUUCAAGAUGUUGUGUUUGUUAACAAGUUUUCAUCAUCAGAGGCCAUCAUUAACCUAGCAGUCGUUAUUCAACAUUUGAAUGAUUAGAGCUCUUGUUGGUGUACAGGUAUACUAGCCAGUGCAGCAUGAACAUUGACUCUCUGCUUAUAAACUAGGCAUGUCUACAUGGAUGUGACCUUUAUUCAUACCCUCGUCUUUAAUGUCGUUUUAAUACUAUAAAGGUUUUCUCAGGAUAUUGAGGUUGAUGUGCUUUUCAUAGGUAUACCUCCGUAUUAAUACAUAUAUGUAUUUAUGGUACCAGUCAACAGUAAUCAGUAUAUGAGCCAUUCUGUAUUACUGGGCUUGAUCAAAUAUGGACUGAUAUGUUUCUGUCUUUUCAUUUUGAAAUAUACACAUGCAUUAUUACAUUAUUGAAUGGCAGGAAUUAUGUUUUUUUUUCUAUUUUCUUCCCCACUGUGUAGUGCUAUAGAAAAUUUAAUGUUUUAAAUGUAUGUUUUAGGCCUGAUUUACACUUACACCUAUUUGUGUGGCUCAAAGGCUCUCUACACCAUUUUUGUAUUCACUUGAAGAGAUUUAAUCUUGUUUCUUUAUAGGUUGAUGAAACAGUUUUUAUUCCAGAAACAAAUAUAAAGUUGUAAACACUGCAAAUGGGGACAGAGCUAAAUGGUUAAAACUUGUUUUUUUUUUUGUUUUUUUUUUUCACUUUAUUUCAGAGUUCCAGGCAAACAUGCAUGUAUACAUGUGGGGUUAGGUUAAUCAUUUGUUUCUCACCUGUAGUACAUGUGAGUGCUGGUUAUCAUUGUUAUUCUUCAGUGCUGAUAUACCACAUAUACAGUUUUCUAAAGGAAGGGAACUAAUGUUCUAGUUUUAAUAGUUUCCUUCACCUGUUGAAACUUUUAAGGAUUGGGAGUUGCAUCUUGCAGUGCAAGGUGAGUUAGGUUAAAAUACUUUUGAGUGUUACAUUUUGAAAAUUUGCAUUUUCAUUCAAACAUGAUUCUGUAAAUAUAUACAUAUAUUACCAAAUCUUUCUCUAGAAUGUUAUUGCAUUGAGAAGAUUGCAGUUUGAUACUCAUACUUGACAUUAUAAGGGAUCACAGUGAAAGUGACAGUCUUUACGUAAGAUACUGGUUUGUAAUAAUUCUUUCCAACUGAUAAAAUAGCAUUUCAUAGUUGUCUGAAAAUUGUUAGUGGUUCUGUUGAUGAACCAAAGGGUUAAAUGAUGAGGAUCAAGAUAAUGUGUGUUGUUUUGCCUCCUCUACUUUGGCACAAUGUAUACCGUACAUCAGGAAAAAGUAAUUCCUCAAUCUCUCGCUUGUUUGCAAGGUAUUUAUUCGAGCAUAUUCUGAAGGCAUUAUUCUGUUUUGAUUGACAAAAUUAUACUUUCUGUGAAGCUUUAACUGGCCAAUCCAACCAAUGUAGUUUUGUCUCCAAAAUCAAAUUAAAAAUCUGUGUAAAUUGCAAUGAAAGCUUCUCAGUCACAUGCGAAAAGAUUGAGGAAUUAGGGUACUGCCAUGGACUUGUGGCUUCAAUUAACACUAUUCUCUCAAAUUCUGUUGAUGUCCAUUCAGCAAAAUUUCAUUUUUUAAGACACUUCACUAAUGUUAUUAAACCGUAUAGUUAAUUUCUCAGUGAAAUGAGGCAGCGCUUUUAAGGUGGAGAAAACACAAAAAUUACAUAAAUUUCAGAUGAAAGAUUACGAAAAGUUAGCUGUAAAUGUGGUCUUUAAUAUUUUUUUUUGAUUUUUCUUUGAAGAGAAAAGACACUUGAAAAUAUAUUUUGUAUGGUGGAUAUUUUGGACCACCUCUUGGCAUAUUUUGUCAUUGUGCAAUAAUUUUGUAAAUGAGGAUGUAACACAUGUUUAAUAAAUAUAUUUGCUCUAGAAUUUGGACUUUUCAGCUAAAAUUUUUAUCAUAUUUAUUUUUUUAAUGCAUUCUUAAAUAUUAUCAUAAUUGAGAUUAAAUGCAUGUGUUUGGAUAUAAACAACAAAUUUACAUUGAAAUAAAUUUAUUAGACAUGCAUCACAUCCUUGUUGAGAACAUUAUUAUGAAAAAAUGAAAAAUACCAAGGGGCCCCAAAUACCACUUUCUCCUGAAAGAAAACAUCCAUGGAAAUAUUAAAGAUCAUCUUUGCAAACAGUUUCAUGCUCUUUCUUCAGAUUUUGGCAUCAUUUUUAUGUUUUCUUCUCCUUUCAGCAUUCUUUCCUUAUGUCCAAUAAGUAAUUCUGAUCAACAUCGUCAAUGGAGGCAAUUUUCUAUCUUUGUGGAGGAAAAUAUUCAAAUAUCUGUCUAGUUCAGUAGCUAUUGAUAAUUCUUGUUAAAUCAGGUAUGGCUAUUGUUGUCCUUUGUCUACUACCUUGUGUGCUGUGUGGGUGAAUGAUGAAGACGUUGACCUUUGACCAAGCUACUACUGUUAUCAAUGAUGUAAUGUUCGAUAAAGGUGCCAUAGUAUUCAGUGAUUAUGGAAAUAUUCACAAACUUUGUAUUACAUAAAUAUUCUAGAAUGAUUUAUGUAUUGUGUAUUACAAAGAAAUAAAGAAACGAAUAUGAUAA